rnacentral:rRNA from 1 species
GAUGAACGCUGGCGGCGUGCCUAAUACAUGCAAGUCGAGCGAACGGACGAGAAGCUUGCUUCUCUGAUGUUAGCGGCGGACGGGUGAGUAACACGUGGAUAACCUACCUAUAAGACUGGGAUAACUUCGGGAAACCGGAGCUAAUACCGGAUAAUAUUUUGAACCGCAUGGUUCAAAAGUGAAAGACGGUCUUGCUGUCACUUAUAGAUGGAUCCGCGCUGCAUUAGCUAGUUGGUAAGGUAACGGCUUACCAAGGCAACGAUGCAUAGCCGACCUGAGAGGGGGAACGGCCAAACUGGAAAUGAGAAAAGGUCCAGACUCCUAAGGGAAGCAGCAAGAGGGAAACUUCCGCAAUGGGCGAAAGCCUGAAGGAGCAACGCCGCGUGAGGGAAGAAGGGCUUCGGAUCGUAAAACUCUGUUAUUAGGGAAGAACAUAUGUGUAAGUAACUGUGCACAUCUUGACGGUACCUAAUCAGAAAGCCACGGCUAACUACGUG